rnacentral:rRNA from 1 species
AUUGAACGCUGGCGGCAGGCCUAACACAUGCAAGUCGAACGAGUGGCGGACGGGUGAGUAAUGUCUGGGAAACUGCCCGAUGGAGGGGGAUAACUACUGGAAACGGUAGCUAAUACCGCAUACCAUCGGAUGUGCCCAGAUCGGAUUAGCUAGUAGGUGGGGUAACGGCUCACCUAGGCGACGAUCCCUAGCUGGUCUGAGAGGAUGACCAGCAACACUGGAACUGAGACAAGGUCCAGACUCAUACGUGAGGCAGCAGUGGGGAAUAUUGCACAAUGGGCGCAAACUCGAUGCAGCCAUGCCGCGGGUAUGAAGAAGGCCUUCGGGUGGUAAAGUCCUUUCAGCGAGGAGGCGUUCCUCGCAGAAGAAGCACCGGCUAACGCCGAGCCAGCAGCCGCGGUAAUUC